rnacentral:lncRNA from 1 species
GCCUGGGCCCCGAGCUGGGCGCAGGGACGUAAUGGUGAACACACACAGGCAGGGCCCUGCCCUCACGUUAAUGACAGUCCUGGGAAGCAGGCAAUCAAGGAAAUCCACAAUAAAUACAUAAUUACAGGCUGUGAUGAGCACUCCAUGCUGUGAGAGGGCCUGACUGGCAGUGACAUCAGGACUGAGAGUGAACUGACUUCAGAGAUCACAAUGCCCCAGGGGCUCUUAACGGAGCCUCCAGGGCAGAUUUGGAGGUGCCACAGUCAUCAGGAACCCAGGCUCCUUCUGUCUUGUUGCUCUACUGUCCUCAAAUAUAGCUUCCUACUCAUGAUCCAAGAUGCCUGCUUAAGCUCCAGCCAUCACAUGUACGUUCCAACCGGUAGGAAGGGAGAAGGGACAAAGAAGAGCACAGCCCCUAUGUUUAAGGACACUUCCCAUUGCCCUUGGCAUUGCCGUUCACCUUUAUUGGCCAGAACUUGGUCCCAGGGCUGCAUCCGGCUGCAAGGGAAGCCAGAAAAUGUGAUCUUGACUCUGGACACCCAGGUGCCCAGUUACGAGUUGGGGGUUCUAUUUCUGAGGAAAAAGGGGAAGACAGGUACCGGGGCAACACAGUCUCUGCCCCUCCUGGUAACAGGGAACGAGGACACGAUGCUGAAGGCAGGCGAUGACCAGUGGGCUGGAUUGCUGUCCCUCCCUGCAGACGGUGUCGUUACUCGGUGCCCAGCAGCUCGGAGGCUGUGGGGACACAGAGCCUGCUGGAGUCUCCAUCGAUGAGCCAUCCUGCUGGGGUCACAUCUGACCUCAUUUUCAGCGAGGAAGAAACCAGGCGUCGGGGAGGCAAGUGGCCUGUCCAAGGGCCCUUGCAGCUAGGACAUAAGCCAAGAGAAGCAGGCCCUGCUGAGAACUUUCCAGAAUUUCUACCCACGUGGUCAGGGGGCUCAAGACCAUGAGGCCCCCAUCACUCCCUACCCUGAGACGCUCCUUCUCUCUCAGUCCAUUGCUGACCAAUGCUGUCACCGCCACCACUUUAAGCAGGACACAGGAGUGGCCAUAAACCCCCUCCCAUCCUCCCAGAGCAUGAGAGGCAGGGAGGGAGCAGCGGCGGGUGGCCAAGCUCUGGAUGACUGGUGUGCCCUCAGCGCUGGAUGGGAGCCCCGGCAGAGAGGAGAGGACCGGGAGCUGUCCUCCUCGUGCCAGCGCGCCACCACCUGGGCGUCUGCCCUCCACUGGGGCCCGCGGGCAGCGUCCUCCCUGGGCCAGAACUGGGUCUUAGACCUGAGCCACUGAUGUGACCUCCCUGCUGUCUUUUCUGUCUUCACAUUUGCAUGAAAACUUACAAAGGGCACACGCUCAUAAGAACAAAAGCAGACAUUUCCUGGGUGCAUAAGGUCAAAAGUCGAAAUGCCUGUGGGACGCGGAGCCGACCUGGGGCAGCUGUUUCCAGACAGUUUCUGUACUGUUUCAGGGCUGUAUGCAUACGUGCAUGUGAACACACGACUAGUCCCGCACUGGGCCCUGCUCCCCUCCUGGCCCGCACAGGGCUUCCUGUGCUGUUGCCUGGGUGGCCGCUGCCCAUUCCGUCUGGUUCGGCUGCUGCCGAUGGGCACGAAAGCUCUGGCUGGAAGUCUUGGCAUUGGAGCACUCGUGCAGCGGCUGUGGCGGGGCGCGUCCCCAGAAAUCCCACUGCCCUCCCUCCCUCAUCAGGCCUCCGUUGGUCCCACCCCCUCGGGAGUGUUCGCGGGACCCUGGGACAGAGAUCCAGAGGACCCAGUCCUCUGGCGCGUGGACUGUCACAAGUGGUUCUGUGAAACGGUGGCAUCGGGGCACCUGACUGCCAGGGCCGGCACACCCAGAUCCUUCUGGUUACAACUGAUUGAAUCCCAACUCACACUCGCUCAGCUGAAGUUACCACCUGAACGGCCAAGGGCUGCGCUGGUUUCUGGGCCUCCGAGGACUCAAAUGUCAGAGGUGCAUCCAUUUCUGUCUGUCUCCUCGAGUUUCUCUCGUUGCUCGGCUUUGCUUCUCUCUGUGUGCUGGCUUCUUUUUCUCCACACAUUUCCUCCGCGUGGCAGAGGUAUGGUGCAUGACCCAGACAGGGCCAGGUCACCCGUCCCAGCUUGGGUACCCAGGGGGGCACAGGUUUCUCACUCCUCGUCCAGGAAAGAGCUUGCUCCCUGGGCCAGGGGUCAGCGCUCUGUGAUCGUCCAGGCCUGGGUCCCGAGCUCACUCCUGCACUGGCGGUGGGUGGUGGCUCUACAGAACCAUGUGGGUCGGGUGAGGGCAGUUCCUGCAGGAAGCAGGGGCCACACUCUGGCCCUGUGGCAGCCACAAUUCUUCCUUCACUCACACCCAUGGUUCCAGGGAGCCCUGCCUGGCACAGCGCAGCUGUCUGAGGGUCAAUAAAAACACUUCCUUCCCAUCAGAGGACCACCCAGGCCUUUGGUCAUGGCGGCAGGAGGUGACUGGGACCACAGUCCCCUGGGGCACGUCCACCUCCUUGAGUUCUGGCGAGGUUCUGCCCAGUGUCUGCAGCCUGGAGUAGAUGCCAGAAUUACCCACCGUCAGUGCACCUGCUACCCCACAGCAGGGGAAGGAAGAGGAAAGAAGGAGAGGAUAAAAAACAGGUGACCUCAGAUGAGUCAAGACGCUCUCCUUUUUCCCGAAGGGGUCACAAGCCCAUGGGUGUCUGUGACCCUCCCUGCUGAACUUCCUCAUUGCCCUCGCCGAUAGGCAGUGGCUCCAAGAGGUGGGUUCUCCCCUGGGGGGCCAAACCAACCUUUAUUCCUGAGGAGGUCUUAGCCUCUGUGUCUCUUGCCCCCCUGGGGCUGCAAAGGUCCCCCAUUAACACAUGAG